GGAAAGACCAGGGACAAUGAAAGUGGAGGAGCAGCCAGGAAAGGAGAAGCCACUGUGUCUGCAGGACAGGGGCUCCCAGAGCAAAGGGGAGAUAAAGGGGACACCUGUGACCUCAGGGAGGACACUGCACAUGGCAGGGACACCAUUUUAGCACAACUGGGUGUGUGAGGAGAGGGCACUGUGAGAAGUCAAGUGCCUGGAGCUGUGGCAGAGAAAGAGGCAGCAUCUGCAAGAGCUGAAGGUGUGAGAUCAUGGUCACUGGCUCCUGCUGCAUGUCAGCGUCUCCCUGUCACCCAGGCCCGCCCCAUCGCCAGGUGGCUUUGCCAGAUUCAUCUCUGAAACCACAACAAGUGCGUGGAGCAGCUAUUUGAGCACCAGGAAAGGAAAUUGUACGCAGUGGUUUGGGAUGGCCCCAGCAGAUGAAAUACAACAGUCAGUGUGAGACUCCUAUUUUUUCUCGGUGUCCCCUGGCAGGAUUCCAGACAGCCCCAAAUCUGAAGGGGCACAAACUUGAAAACAAAAAGAAGUCCAGAAAUCCCUCUUGUUCAGGAUUGAGGAUAGGAAAGGAAACUUCUUCGGCUCAAAGUGAAGGCUCAGUCCCCUACUCCACACCCCUGUUCUCAUCUCUCUUGCACCAGUGCCUCUCCCUGGGUUCACACUGAUAUCCUAUGGAUGGAGAUGAUAUUUCCUGCACCAGGUCACUCCACAGCCCCUGUUAACCUGAAGAGGUGCAGACCAGCACUGUUCAAUCACAGUAUGAUGAGCCUAAUGGGAAUCCCACUAGGCUAGUCUAGUCACCACAUUAGACAUAUAAAGAGAAGAAGGUAAAUGACUUCAAAUAAUAUAUUUUAUUUACCUAGCAUAUCAAAAAUAGUGCCAUUUUCAUAUGUAAUCUAAGUAUGAUUGUCAUGCAAUAUUUUAGAUACUUUUUCACAGCUAUUAUUACUAUUUUUUGAAGAAUCUUUAUGUGGAGAUUAUGUGGCUGAUGGAGAUGUGGAUGGGUUUCCUGUUCACAGGAUGAGAUGUAGUGGCUUUUUAAGUGACAACUUUGAUAGGCUGAAGAAGGGGUGAAAACAAUGAUUUUUUUGCACAGGAUAUACAGAUUGGAGGUGGGCAGUGUCCAUCCUGCAGCUCACCCUCUGGGUGCAUCUGUGGUCCCUGCAUGGGGCGAGGCUGCUCCUGCUGCCCCUGGAUUCCUGCAGGAGGAUCUGACUCCAACUCUCCCUCAGAACCCAGAGCAUCUGGCAUGUCAGUCUCCCUUUUCAUUUCACACAAAUGAAAAAAAAAACCACUCAGGUCUCGCUGGGCAUUUGCAGACUCGCAGUGGUAAUUUAAGAGUAAACUGAUGCUUUCUAGUGUACAGUGGCCUCUUCAGCUCCCUCAUGGCCCGUGUUGGGGAUGGCUGGUGAUCUUAGUUUGGGUUCCCUGGAAACAGACUCUGAGAUGGAGAAUAUCAUACACAGAUGAUUAAGAAAGUGAUGGAGGCAACACCAGGCAGAAGGAGGCCCUGACACAUAUUGAGGCUUCAGUCAGCCCUACAAGGAGCUAUGGAUCUUGGAGGAUUUUCAGGUCCUGUUAUACUGAGGAAGAGUCUUGAGACCUUGGCCACAGGCAGUCAUGAAACCAAACCUCCCUGAGAAGAGACAUAAACCUGGGGGAGGCAGAUUUCUGCACCGAACAGCUCUGAGCUGCCAGAAGCUCCCAGGAGUGCUGUGUGGGUGAGCUCAUAAGAGGGGAUCUGGGAGGAUCCCACAGUGUCCACUCCACUAGUUUUUCUGUAGAGAAUGACAGGAGCCUCAGCUGGGCAGUUCUGGGGACUGAUUCAGGACAUUUCGGCCAAGGACUGGCCUAUCACCACCUAUGGAAAUCCAGAGAUAACUGAGGAUAUUGACCUUGGUCUGCUUGGAAGAUCUAAUUUCCCUGAAUCACAGUGGAGUCCACAAAACCCCAAUACAUCCUGGUCACCUCAGCCCUAAAUCCAUUCUGGAUGCCCCCUCUGCACAGCCUGCCUGGAGGGCUGAAGGAAGUAAAGACUGGGGGUCUCAGAUCCAGGUGAACUGGGUCAUGCAUGCUCAUGGCUUUGUCCACAGUGUUGCCGGGCUGGAGGACGACAGCAGCACAGAUGGGGAAGGGGUCUGUGUCUUACUUCCUUGUCUGCCUCUGUCACUGUGUGCAGUGCCACUGCCCCACACCUGAGAGGAAAGCCUCGUCCCCAGCCUGGGCUCCACUGAUGGUCAGGGUGACCAUGUUCCCCGAGUUGGAGCUGGAGAAUCACUUAGAGAUCCCUGAAGGCCAUCUGCUAUCCCCAUAGAUGACCUGCACAAGGGCCUGGCCUGGUUUCUGCUGGUACCAUUAAGCAGGUUUAAUUCCAAUAUUAUUUCCCCUACAGGUGAUCCUGGGUGUCUGUCCUGGGGCCACUGACACUGAGGGUGGCUGUGUCAGCACAUAUGAGGCCACAGAGCCUGCAAGGAGAGAAAAGAGGAGCGAAAAGGCCUGAAACUCUGGGGAUUAACCAAAGAAUAUCUUGCCACUUGCCUGAACUGACCUGAGCCCCAGGAAUAAAAGUGCCCUUAGGGCACCAAGAGAACAGGAGCACAGUGUGGGGGGAUUUCUGCCCCACCAGCCCCCUGCCCUGCGGCAGGUUCAUGAGCAUCCUGCCCACCACAGGUAGGGCCCUACUGAGCUCAGUGUUAGGGCCAGGCUGGACCCAGAGGCCUGGGGCUGGGCAAGUGAGUGAGACCCUGGGGGCAGCACCUGUGCAGUGAGGGAGGAGGCCGAGGAGGAAAGGGGUCCAGGCCAUGGCUGAGGCACCCCCGAUGCUGCUUCCCAAGACCCAGGCUGAGCAGGUUCCUCCCAGGCCUCUCUUAUCCCCUUGCUGGAUAAAGCGGCCAUGAUGCAAAUCAGCAGAGUCAGGGGCUGCUGCUGGAGUAGCUCUGUGGUUUUUAGAGAAGGGCUCAGCCCCAAAGGGCCCAGGAAGGAGAGGAGUGGUCCCAGCAGACCCACUCUCAGCACACGGGUUUCUUCUUCCUCUCCUGGUUCUAUUCUGGGCCGACAUCUUCACCCCAAAUUGUGUCUCAAACUGGCUUUACUCCUGGGCUGUCCUGGCCCUAUAGAGCUCCGAGGUAAGUCUGUCUGCGUUUUUGGGCUCCAUUCUACAGGUGCCAAAACCAGGCUUUGAGAAGUUCUGGGUCUUGCUCUUGAGCACAGCUCCUGAGCUGCAGAACUUGAAUAAAAUUUCUCCCUUGCUAAGUGAACAUGGAGGUUUUUAAUAUCCAUGAAGCUUGUAUAAGUUUUUGCCCUUGGUGGAGCUUCAGGGGAAGGCCCUAGGAGCUGUGCCUCAGUGUCCCCACUAUGCGUUUAGGGCCAGGUACAAAUCUGCUGCUCUGAAAGUGUUUGACAGAUCCAGAGUUUUAGCAUAAUUGGGUGGGCUGGGAUGCAAUGUAGUAUAAGACUUGAACUUGUUGCUGUGAAAUAAGCAAAUUCUAAAAGAGCCAGAUGUAAGAGACAUGGGGCAAAAGAGUUUGUACAUCAAUGUUAACGAUGAUACUCUAGAAAAAGAAGGACAUUUUUCCCCCCAGUGUUAGGUCAUGGUCACUGACCCUCCCUGCAUGUCAGCAUCUCCCUGACAUGCAGGUCCAGCCCAGCUCCAGGCGGCUUUGCCAUGUGACUCUCUGUUGACCACUGCUGGUUGCUCUUCACUGACUGCUGGAGGCUCAGACACCACCUUGGUCUAGGUGUAGAUUCAGAAAUUACUCCUCAGGUCUAGGAUUUCUUGAUCCCUGAACUGCUGGCCCAAAGGGAGGAAUUAUUCUUCUCUGUGUGGCCUGUCUGCCUUACGACCAAGCAGGAGGUGCUCAGUUCCCAAGAAAAUGCAAACAUGCUUCACCAGGGGCGGAAUAUGCAGGAGCCACCUGAGGCAUCUCUGCACAUUUCAUUCAGAAAUGUCUUGACAUUUUCAGUGUACAAGAAGUUCAUCUUCUUGGAUAAAUUUAUUUGUAUUCUUUUUGGUGGUCUUGUAAAUAGAGUUACUUUUAAAACUUCUUUUUCAGAUGUUCAUUGCUGGUGCAUAUAAAAUAUGAAUG
rnacentral:lncRNA from 1 species